UUGUGUGGCAACAGCGUGUGAAGCUCACAUGGUCGCCCGCUGAAGCUAAGCAGGGCUGCGCCCGGUCAGUACCUGGAUGGGAGACCACAUGGAAAGAUAGGUUGCUGCCGGAA
rnacentral:rRNA from 1 species